GACUGGGAUAACUCCGGGAAACCGGGGCUAAUACCGGAUAACUUUUUUCUUCGCAUGAGGGAGAAUUGAAAGAUGGCCUCGGCUAUCACUUACAGAUGGACCCGCGGCGCAUUAGCUAGUUGGUGAGGUAACGGCUCACCAAGGCGACGAUGCGU
rnacentral:rRNA from 1 species